rnacentral:rRNA from 2 species
AGAGUUUGAUCCUGGCUCAGAACGAACGCUGGCGGCGUGCCUCAUACAUGCAAGUCGGGCGGUUGUAGCAAUACAGCAGCGGCGGACGGGUGAGUAACACGUGGGCAACCUGGCCUUAAGAGGGGGAUAACGUCUCGAAAGGGACGCUAAUACCGCGUAACGCAAAGAGAUCGCAUGAUUUCAUUGCAAAAGGAGCAAUCCGCUUAAGGAUGGGCCCGCGGCCUAUUAGCUAGUUGGUAAGGGUAACGGCCUACCAAGGCGACGAUAGGUAGCCGACCUGAGAGGGUGAACGGCCACACUGGAACUGAGAAACGGUCCAGACUCCUACGGGAGGCAGCAGUAGGGAAUAUUCCGCAAUGGGCGAAAGCCUGACGGAGCAACGCCGCGUGAGUGAAGAAGAUCUUCGGAUUGUAAAGCUCUGUCAACAGGGACGAUGAUGACGGUACCUGAGAAGGAAGCCACGGCAAACUACGUGCCAGCAGCCGCGGUAAUGCGUAGGUGGCAAGCGUUGUCCGGAAUAACUGGGCGUAAAGCGCAUGUAGACGGCAUAGCAAGCCAAGUGUGAAAUUUAGAGGCUUAACCUCUAAACUGCGCUUGGAACUGCUGAGCUUGAGUGCAGGAGAGGCAAGUGGAAUUCCCAGUGUAGCAGUGAAAUGCGUAGAUAUUGGGAGGAACACCGGUGGCGAAGGCGACUUGCUGGACUGCAACUGACGUUGAGAUGCGAAAGCUAGGGGAGCAAACGGGAUUAGAUACCCCGGUAGUCCUAGCUGUAAACGAUGGAUACUAGGUGUGGGAGGUAUCGACCCCUUCCGUGCCGCAGCGAACGCAAUAAGUAUCCCGCCUGGGGAGUACGGUCGCAAGAUUGAAACUCAAAGGAAUUGACGGGGGCCCGCACAAGCAGUGGAGCAUGUGGUUUAAUUCGACGCAACCCGAAGAACCUUACCAGGUCUUGACAUUUAUCUGAUCCGGCAGAGAUGUUGGAGUGCCGCUUUUAGCGGAAAGAUAAAACAGGUGGUGCAUGGUUGUCGUCAGCUCGUGUCGUGAGAUGUUGGGUUAAGUCCCGCAACGAGCGCAACCCUUGAUAACAGUUGCCAGCAAAUAAAGUUGGGCACUCUGUUGUGACUGCCGUAGAUAAUACGGAGGAAGGUGGGGAUGACGUCAAAUCGUCAUGCCCUUUAUGACCUGGGCUACACACGUGCUACAAUGGGGUGGAACAACGGGAAGCAAACCAGCGAUGGCAAGCGGAACCCUAAAAACACCUCUCAGUUCAGAUUGCAGGCUGCAACCCGCCUGCAUGAAGUCGGAAUUGCUAGUAAUCGCGGAUCAGCAUGCCGCGGUGAAUACGUUCCCGGGCCUUGUACACACCGCCCGUCACACCACGAAAGUUGACAACACCCGAAGUCGGUGGGGUAACCUGCAAAGGAGCCAGCCGCCGAA